rnacentral:rRNA from 1 species
ACUAUCAUUAACUGAAUCCAUAGGUUAAUGAGGCGAACCGGGGGAACUGAAACAUCUAAGUACCCCGAGGAAAAGAAAUCAACCGAGAUUCCCCCAGUAGCGGCGAGCGAACGGGGAGGAGCCCAGAGCCUGAAUCAGUGUGUGUGUUAGUGGAAGCGUCUGGAAAGGCGCGCGAUACAGGGUGACAGCCCCGUACACAAAAAUGCACAUACUGUGAGCUCGAUGAGUAGGGCGGGACACGUGGUAUCCUGUCUGAAUAUGGGGGGACCAUCCUCCAAGGCUAAAUACUCCUGACUGACCGAUAGUGAACCAGUACCGUGAGGGAAAGGCGAAAAGAACCCCGGCGAGGGGAGUGAAAAAGAACCUGAAACCGUGUACGUACAAGCAGUGGGAGCCUCUUAAUGGGGUGACUGCGUACCUUUUGUAUAAUGGGUCAGCGACUUAUAUUCUGUAGCAAGGUUAACCGAAUAGGGGAGCCGAAGGGAAACCGAGUCUUAACUGGGCGUUAAGUUGCAGGGUAUAGACCCGAAACCCGGUGAUCUAGCCAUGGGCAGGUUGAAGGUUGGGUAACACUAACUGGAGGACCGAACCGACUAAUGUUGAAAAAUUAGCGGAUGACUUGUGGCUGGGGGUGAAAGGCCAAUCAAACCGGGAGAUAGCUGGUUCUCCCCGAAAGCUAUUUAGGUAGCGCCUCGUGAAUUCAUCUCCGGGGGUAGAGCACUGUUUCGGCAAGGGGGUCAUCCCGACUUACCAACCCGAUGCAAACUGCGAAUACCGGAGAAUGUUAUCACGGGAGACACACGGCGGGUGCUAACGUCCGUCGUGAAGAGGGAAACAACCCAGACCGCCAGCUAAGGUCCCAAAGUCAUGGUUAAGUGGGAAACGAUGUGGGAAGGCCCAGACAGCCAGGAUGUUGGCUUAGAAGCAGCCAUCAUUUAAAGAAAGCGUAAUAGCUCACUGGUCGAGUCGGCCUGCGCGGAAGAUGUAACGGGGCUAAACCAUGCACCGAAGCUGCGGCAGCGACACUAUGUGUUGUUGGGUAGGGGAGCGUUCUGUAAGCCUGUGAAGGUGUACUGUGAGGUAUGCUGGAGGUAUCAGAAGUGCGAAUGCUGACAUAAGUAACGAUAAAGCGGGUGAAAAGCCCGCUCGCCGGAAGACCAAGGGUUCCUGUCCAACGUUAAUCGGGGCAGGGUGAGUCGACCCCUAAGGCGAGGCCGAAAGGCGUAGUCGAUGGGAAACAGGUUAAUAUUCCUGUACUUGGUGUUACUGCGAAGGGGGGACGGAGAAGGCUAUGUUGGCCGGGCGACGGUUGUCCCGGUUUAAGCGUGUAGGCUGGUUUUCCAGGCAAAUCCGGAAAAUCAAGGCUGAGGCGUGAUGACGAGGCACUACGGUGCUGAAGCGACAAAUGCCCUGCUUCCAGGAAAAGCCUCUAAGCAUCAGGUAACAUCAAAUCGUACCCCAAACCGACACAGGUGGUCAGGUAGAGAAUACCAAGGCGCUUGAGAGAACUCGGGUGAAGGAACUAGGCAAAAUGGUGCCGUAACUUCGGGAGAAGGCACGCUGAUAUGUAGGUGAAGCGACUUGCUCGUGGAGCUGAAAUCAGUCGAAGAUACCAGCUGGCUGCAACUGUUUAUUAAAAACACAGCACUGUGCAAACACGAAAGUGGACGUAUACGGUGUGACGCCUGCCCGGUGCCGGAAGGUUAAUUGAUGGGGUUAGCGGUAACGCGAAGCUCUUGAUCGAAGCCCCGGUAAACGGCGGCCGUAACUAUAACGGUCCUAAGGUAGCGAAAUUCCUUGUCGGGUAAGUUCCGACCUGCACGAAUGGCGUAAUGAUGGCCAGGCUGUCUCCACCCGAGACUCAGUGAAAUUGAACUCGCUGUGAAGAUGCAGUGUACCCGCGGCAAGACGGAAAGACCCCGUGAACCUUUACUAUAGCUUGACACUGAACAUUGAGCCUUGAUGUGUAGGAUAGGUGGGAGGCUUUGAAGUGUGGACGCCAGUCUGCAUGGAGCCGACCUUGAAAUACCACCCUUUAAUGUUUGAUGUUCUAACGUGGGCCCCUUACCGGGGUUGCGGACAGUGUCUGGUGGGUAGUUUGACUGGGGCGGUCUCCUCCUAAAGAGUAACGGAGGAGCACGAAGGUUGGCUAAUCCUGGUCGGACAUCAGGAGGUUAGUGCAAUGGCAUAAGCCAGCUUGACUGCGAGCGUGACGGCGCGAGCAGGUGCGAAAGCAGGUCAUAGUGAUCCGGUGGUUCUGAAUGGAAGGGCCAUCGCUCAACGGAUAAAAGGUACUCCGGGGAUAACAGGCUGAUACCGCCCAAGAGUUCAUAUCGACGGCGGUGUUUGGCACCUCGAUGUCGGCUCAUCACAUCCUGGGGCUGAAGUAGGUCCCAAGGGUAUGGCUGUUCGCCAUUUAAAGUGGUACGCGAGCUGGGUUUAGAACGUCGUGAGACAGUUCGGUCCCUAUCUGCCGUGGGCGCUGGAGAACUGAGGGGGGCUGCUCCUAGUACGAGAGGACCGGAGUGGACGCAUCACUGGUGUUCGGGUUGUCAUGCCAAUGGCACUGCCCGGUAGCUAAAUGCGGAAGAGAUAAGUGCUGAAAGCAUCUAAGCACGAAACUUGCCCCGAGAUGAGUUCUCCCUGACUCCUUGA